CAUCGGCAGUAGCAGCAUGUAAACAUGAAUCUGGCCUUCUCUCAAUUCCUUCUCAUGGCAUUUUCAUCGGCUCGCAAAAAUCGCCAAGUCUACUCAAAUCAACCAAUGAAACCAAGGUGUAGUGAAUUUGCAUAUUCAAUCCCAAGAUGUCAACUGAAUUCCCGCAGCCGAUUAAUCCGUCAUCCCACACGAUAUGAAGUGAUGGAGUACCUUAAGGUCGAGGAGCGAGCCACAGGACCUGCGGCGCACGAGCUUGAAGGCACGGAUCGGAGGGUGCUGUGCUCCAUUCCCAGAAGGCACCAGCCACCAAAACCACCUGCUGCUCGACCUUUUUCGAGAUCCUGGUGGGCCCGGAGCACCCUCCGCCUUCCACGGCCCCCUCCACUUCCUCUGUCCUUCGCCCUCCUGUCCUUUCAAACCCCACGGCGGUGCAGAGCGCAUCGCCGAGCCCCCGCCCACCCGACAGCCUCACCUCGAAUUCUUCUCCAGCAGUUCGUUGCCCUCCUCCUUCCCCUUCCCUCCUCGACAGGUGUCCGGCGGCUUGGAUCUAUGCGGACCCGGCAUCUGUAUUUUACCUCAUUGGGGAUGGAGGUGCAGGUGCUGGAUUUGUCUUCCGAUUCCGAGGGCGAGGUGUCGGCGCACUCGCCCGAUCACAAGCGCCCCUCUCAGCAGCCGGGUGUAGACCCCAAUCGCCGGGUUGGCGACAAUGGUUCCAGCGCCGUGGACAGCCUCUUCGAGGAAGCGGGCGCGGCGAGGCCACCGCGUCACCCCAGCGACGCGCUGAACAAAGGGAAGGAGAAGGUCGUCGAUGUGGAGAGCGUGGAGUCUCCAAAGCACGGUGGGGAAUCGCUCGGUGCUGCUGGCCGCGUCCUGGGAGCUGGGAGUGAUCCGUGGAGCGCACUGGUGAGCAAGUGCAAGGCUGGGGACAGUGGGAAUAAUGGAACUGAGUGUUGGGAUAGUUGGGGUGACUGGGGUGAUCAGCUUACUAACUCGGCCCCCGUGGCGCGUCUAGGGUCAGAGAGGACGGGGUUUCAUGAGACAUAUGAACUGCGAGGGACGCCUCAGCUUCACAGUGACUCUUCAGCAUUCAGUGACCAGUGGAAGGGUAUUCUGGGUGCAAGCCCUGCUGAUCCUGUCAACUCACUGUGGUGCUCCAGGGAUACUAGCAUGAAAGAUAGUGAGGAUGAAACCUUGUCUCAAAGGUCUGUGUCUGUUCGUGAAAUUUCUAGCUGUGAUUAUUUUCUUACCGAAGAUAGUAGCUCGUCAUGGCUGUCGAAGGUCAAGGGGCUGAACUUCCCACUUCCUGAUGAGCAUCAGUUGAGAACCAGGCAGAUUGAGAAUGAUGAGAUGUUUGCCCGUAGACUUCAGGAGCAGCUCAAUCAGCAACAGCCAGGAUCUCAGCAUUCUGAAGCGGUUGAUAAAACAAUAGCCUGGACAUUACAUGAGCAAGAUGCUGAGCAUGCCAGAUUUGCUGCAAGAGAAGUCCAGUCUAGUUCUGUUUUUUUUUUGAAAGUUAUGGAACGCAUUAUCAAGCUGGCCAAGAGCUAUGUGUUGAAACGGAAGAGGAUGGCAUAACAUCAUAUAUUCAUAUCUGCCUAGCCAGAGGGACAGAUCAAUGGCACACCUAUAUUCUUAUGGACGUCACUCACCUGUUCAAAGUUUUGCUUCUUGGGCAUCAAAUCAUACUCCAAUUUCAAUGUCAAGCAGAGGCGGCUUGCAAAGAAACUCCAACUGCCCUCAAGCGGAGCAACGCAAUAUGCUUAUCUCUCAGUUAACCAGAGGAUGCUUCAGAGAAGACAUGGAUCUACAAACGAGAUUGGCUGUACUGGACUCACUUUCUGAAGCAUUUAGGAACUGCGAGGACACGCACUCUCCAGAUUCGGAUGAUGAUGAUUACGAGGACCAAAUAGCGCUCGGCGUCGACAGCCAGCAAAGAGGCGCCUCUGAUGAUCAGAUAAACAGCCUGCCACUAUCAGUAAUCGAGGGUGAAGGUCGUUCCGAUGAACCCUGCAAUAUAUGCUUGGACUGCCCUGCUGCUGGUGAUUCACUCCGGCGUUUGCCAUGCAUGCACAAGUUUCACAAAGAGUGCAUUGACAGGUGGCUCGGGAUGAAGAUAUGGUGUCCGGUUUGCAAGUCAAAUGUGUUCUCCCAGUAGGCCGUGAGCAUCUCUUAUACUUUUUGGAGCAGCAUCGAAGCUAGAUUAUAGUUGGCUGAUACGAGGCAUUGUUACGGCUGCAGUGUGUACAUUGCGUUCUUGACUUGUGCUCUCUUCUGCUCCGUGGGGAGCAUUUGAAUGCUCUUUUUCCGCGGAGAGUUUUUUUGGCUGUGAGAGAAGGCACGGAAAACCUCAUUCUGCUAUUCUCAUUUCUUGUA